UGAAUCAAUAGGACCCUAACGUCUCACAACGCUAUUCAGUCACUCGCUCUCCCUGUACACUCUCUUUCCCUCGCUCUCUGCCAUCACUCUCUCUCCACACUCUGUCUCUCUCGCUCUGCGAUCAGGCUUCCCCACUCUUCCUCGAGUCUCCAUCAGUCGUCGUUGGUUCCCGCCGCCGCUGAUUACAGAUAUGCAGGCACUAGAUAGAGUGCGGCCUGGACCCGAUGUGGAUACCCAGUUGGCCCAGCAGCCGAAUCAUCGGUCAAGUCCGCUUUGGAGUUGCGCCGCUGACGAGGAGGUGCCUGGCAUGAUAAAGGUUCGACGCCGUAAAUGUGUAUUGCCACAGGGUGGGUUAGAUCCACGUAUCAUGCAACACAUAGAUGCAGCAGGGUUGACUGGUUUAUUCAAGGUUCCUGAUAUGGAGG